rnacentral:rRNA from 1 species
UACGAAGGGGGCUAGCGUUGCUCGGAAUUACUGGGCGUAAAGGGCGCGUAGGCGGCACUGUUAGUCAGGCGUGAAAGUCCUGGGCUCAACCUGGGAACUGCGCUUGAUACGGCAGAGCUAGAGGAUGGAAGAGGCUCGCGGAAUUCCCGGUGUAGAGGUGAAAUUCGUAGAUAUCGGGAGGAACACCAGUGGCGAAGGCGGCGACCUGGGCCAAUACUGACGCUGAGGUGCGAAAGCGUGGGGAGCGAACAGG